rnacentral:tRNA from 1 species
GCCGCCUUAGCUCAGUUGGUAGAGCAAUGGUAUCGUAAACCAUAGGUCCCGAGUUCGAAUCUCGGAGGCGGCU